AUGGGGCGUAGAGCAAGACCGCCAUCUUUCCGGAAGCACAGUCUCCCUACUCGCGACUUGCCAGUGAAAAGUUCCGCAAAGUAACGCAAAUAAAGACAAAAAUAUGAUUAUAACGCCAAAUGUUCCGUUGUCUGAAUAGUUAAUCUUCAAAUCGAAUAGGCAAGAUGCGCCCAUUACACAGACGAUUUUUUUUGUACAUUUCCCACAAUGCAUUGCCGUACCAAUAUUGAAGGGCGGAAGUUAGUAAAACGCUAAUUGUCUCGGAUAAUGUAUCCGAUAAUAUUCAUAAAGCAGGCAACGUGGGCCACCGUCAACUGCCACUAUCCAGGUGGAAGGAAUACAACUAGCUUGUAUCGCAUCCGUAAGCGUAUUUAUGGACAAAUGGAAGCGAGGAAAAAGAAGAGUAAACAUCGAAAACGGGCAUGGAUUACUACAAUCAACCGAGAUGCGACGUGCUGACGACUUCAUGUUUGUUCGGAUCAUUACAGUGCCAGUCACACACACCACUGUGGAAGUGUUCCACGGUCCUGCCGGCUCCCACGGGGCCCGGCGUGAGGUGCAACGCAAAGCCUAAUAACCAGCCUGGGGACGUCAGACGCUUUGUAGGUCACGGUGACGCCAGAUGCUGCAGAGCGUGGCGGAGAUGGAGAUGAAAAAAAGCUGAAGGAAAUUCUGCACAGCGUAACCAUGGAAACACGCUGCUUUUCUACGCUGAGAGGGUUCUUCACACACUCCAGGGUGCGGUAGCCACUGGACAGAAAGUUGGGCAGGUACUCCUGCAGACCCAGACCAUCCAGCCACGAGGCCAAGGACGUGCUGCCGUCACAGCCCAGAGCUUUGACCUGCGACACGGACACAAAUCAGGUGCGUGUCCACGGUGGUCUUCCAACAACACACCAGGAACAUCUAAAUGGUCUUUGUGGAACCUGCCAGCUCAGAUCUGGACGGAUCCCGGUCCUACCUUGGGCAGGUUACGUGCCGCAUGGAGGAUUUUCUUCCUGUGCCCUGGGUCUGUGAUCCCAAUGUCUCUGAGAUCCUGGUCCUCCAUCACGUUACUUCCCUGCGCACACACACACACACACACACACACACACACACACACACACACACACACACACACACACACGUAGGAGAUGCAUACAAAUAAAGAUAGUGAACAUGCGCAUGCAAAGAGUUCCAAAUAAGUCCGGACAAUAAAGUCUGUCAUGGAGUGAAAGUCUUCAUGGACUCUCAUUAGUCAAAGUCCAGAGCAGGGG